rnacentral:rRNA from 1 species
GACGAACCGUGCGAACGUUGUUCGGAAUCACUGGGCUUAAAGGGCGCGUAGGCGGGCGACCAAGUCGGGGGUGAAAUCUUUCGGCCCAACCGGAAAAGGGCCCCCGAUACUGGCCGCCUCGAGGGGGGUAGGGGCAUGUGGAACUUCCGGUGGAGCGGUGAAAUGCGUAGAUAUCGGAAGGAACGCCGGUGGCGAAAGCGACGUGCUGGACCCCUUCUGACGCUGAGGCGCGAAAGCCAGGGGAGCGAACGGG